rnacentral:rRNA from 1 species
AGUAAGGAAUAUUGGUCAAUGGACGCAAGUCUGAACCAGCCAUGCCGCGUGGAGGAUGAAGGUCCUCUGGAUUGUAAACUUCUUUUAUCUGGGACGAAAAAAGGGAAUUCUUUCUCGUCUGACGGUACCAGAUGAAUAAGCACCGGCUAACUCCGUGCCAGCAGCCGCGGUAAUACGGAGGGUGCAAGCGUUAUCCGGAUUCACUGGGUUUAAAGGGUGCGUAGGCGGGUAUGUAAGUCCGUGGUGAAAUCUCCGAGCUUAACUCGGAAACUGCCGUGGGUACUGCGUAUCUUGAAUGUUGUGGAGGUGAGCGGAAUAUGUCAUGUAGCGGUGAAAUGCUUAGAUAUGACAUAGAACACCAAUUGCGAAGGCAGCUCACUACACAAAUAUUGACGCUGAGGCACGAAAGCGUGGGGAUCAAA